AAACUACUCCCUCCGUUCGGAAUUACUUGUCGCGAAAAUGGAUGUAUCUAGACGUAUUUUAGUUCUAGAUACAUCCAUUUUCAAGACAAGUAAUUCCGAACAAAGGGAGUAUCAU
rnacentral:pre_miRNA from 1 species